CCCAUCACUGACGGCCAACAGCUCGCAGUAGCUACGUGAGGGGCGGAGCCUCGAGCACAGCACUGCGCUGAGGAGAGCUACAUAUGGGGACACUGGCUUAAACAGUGGUCGGUCAAAUGAAACGGCACCGCAGAGGGCAGUAACAGGAGGAGAGGAUGUCAGGCCCAAAGAAGAAGAUUAAAAUGCCGGCUGCUCUUUACAUCAUGUGGCAUUAACAAAGAGUUUCUCUCGGAGGGAGUUCAGCUGGAAGAAAUCAUUUAAGAGAGCCGUGCCAUCUUUCCCCCGAGCAUACACAAGGCCACCUCUGCCUUUCCUGGACAUUUGAUGCUCAUUGAUUUCCACGAGCAAACAAGCAGGGCUUGUUUAUCUGAGAGAGCCCAGAGACAGUCGAGGCUUUAGCGAAGAAUGACAGAAUCAGAAUGUGUGUAAAGUCAGAGAGAGCGAGCACCAGCAGGGCAGACUCACAUAGUGGCCCACUCCUAAAAUUAACUGUACAUUUUCUUUUUAAUUUUAUAUCUGUGUUAGGAAGCUCAUCUAAAUCAGCAGUCUCAAAAUCAAUAAAGGACAGUAUAUAUAGUCGUAUGAAAAUGUUGCACCCCUUGGUCAAAUUACAUGUUUUGUUGAUUUUGUGUAAAUAAGUUAACACAUCCUCUACAGAGAACACACUUCUGCACACUUUACUGCAGAAUUACUGUUUAUUUGCUGAAUUUAACAUAUCAGAAAAACAUAAAAUGUGGCCUUUGCGAAAGUUAUGACACAUUUUGUAUUGUUAUACAGACUGCACACUAGAAUUUGAAGAAAAAAUGCUGUAUUUGUUCUCUGUAGUUGAUGUGUAAACUUAUUUUCACUUAGAAAACCCAUAAAAUAUGUCAUUUGGUGUUCAAACCUUUGCAUUCAACUGUGUAAAUUUAAAGUGUGCAUAGGGUCUGUAAUGUUUUGAAUAUCAGAACACAAAGCUGACGGUUUUAACACUGUAAUUAAAGAAAUAUGCGAACUGUUAUAGAUGUGGAUAUAGAGUCAGGAGUAAAUGGCACAUGGUUUAUUUUUAAUACGGUCAGAGAUGCAACGUGUCCCUAAUCUCUGCACAGAAGAUGCUGCUAAAACCUAAAUUCAGCACUUACCCAGUUUGCCUAACUGACGAGGCAAACUAGGUUAAUGAGGCCGGCCAUUAAAUUAGUUAUACAGGCCGGUCUGACCUGUAGGAGAGAAAGAGAGCGGGGGGUGGAAUUAUCUCGCCAUUUAUGUGUGCUUGCACGUGUGUGUCAGAGGUGGGAAUAAUAAUCGAUUCUUAGCUGCAUUGAGAUUCCCUCUUAAAAGAUUUUGAAUUGAUUCACAAAAUGUCAUUUAGACAGGUUUCUAUUGAGUUUCUAUUUAAUUUUAACUUGAUUUGAAAGACUUUAUAAAGUAGGAUAGGUGAGUCCAGGGAGAGCUGUAACACUUGUCUCUGCCUUUAUAAUUUAGUGGUUGUUUGUGUAGUAGUGUUAUAACUGAAGUUUGGGGGGAGGAACAUGCCUGGAAGCCCUCCUUCUUACAAUCUAACGCCCUAUAAAUUCACAUCCUCACCUUUCCGUGACAAAGUGUUCGCAAUCCCCCCUGCCACCCAAUCACACAAUCAGCAUAAACAUGCUGGGGUGACCAGCUAAACCAGCACCAGACCAGCACUAAACCAGCAUAAAUCAGCUUAGACUGGCAGACAGCUUAGACUGUGCUGUUUUUUUCAGCAGGGCAGUAGUUCCCAACAUUUAAAAAAUAAACAGUACGAGUUUCUUAUACAAUAUGUGACACAAAGAUCUGUCCUU